rnacentral:rRNA from 1 species
CCUACGGGUGGCUGCAGUGGGGGAUAUUGCACAAUGGAGGAAACUCUGAUGCAGCAAUGCCGCGUGAGGGAAGACGGUCUUCGGAUUGUAAACCUCUGUCCUUGGUGAAGAUAAUGACGGUAGCCAAGGAGGAAGCUCCGGCUAACUACGUGCCAGCAGCCGCGGUAAUACGUAGGGAGCAAGCGUUGUCCGGAUUUACUGGGUGUAAAGGGUGCGUAGGCGGCUUUUUAAGUCGGGCGUGAAAGCUGUGGGCUUAACCCACAAAUUGCGUUCGAAACUGGAAGGCUUGAGUGAAGUAGAGGUAGGCGGAAUUCCCGGUGUAGCGGUGAAAUGCGUAGAGAUCGGGAGGAACACCAGUGGCGAAGGCGGCCUACUGGGCUUUAACUGACGCUGAGGCACGAAAGCGUGGGUAGCAAACAGGAUUAGAUACCCGUGUAGUC